UACGGAGGGGGCUAGCGUUGUUCGGAAUCAUUGGGCGUAAAGGGUGCGUAGGCGGCGCGGUAAGUCGGGUGUGAAAUCUCGGGGCUUAACUCCGAAACUGCAUUCGAUACUGCCGUGCUUGAGGACUGGAGAGGAGACUGGAAUUUACGGUGUAGCGGUGAAAUGCGUAGAUAUCGUAAGGAAGACCAGUGGCGAAGGCGGGUCUCUGGACAGUUCCUGACGCUGAGGCACGAAGGCCAGGGGAGCAAACGGG
rnacentral:rRNA from 1 species